AUUGAACGCUGGCGGCAGGCCUAACACAUGCAAGUCGAACGAGCGGCGGACGGGUGAGUAAUGUAUGGGGAUCUGCCCGAUAGAGGGGGAUAACUACUGGAAACGGUAGCUAAUACCGCAUACUAUCGGAUGUGCCCAGAUGGGAUUAGCUAGUAGGUGGGGUAAAGGCUCACCUAGGCGACGAUCCCUAGCUGGUCUGAGAGGAUGAUCAGCCACACUGGGACUGAGACACGGUCCAGACUCCUACGGGAGGCAGCAGUGGGGAAUAUUGCACAAUGGGCGCAAGCCUGAGGCAGCCAUGCCGCGUGUAUGAAGAAGGCCUUCGGGUUGUAAAGUACUUUCAGCGGGGAGGCGUUACCCGCAGAAGAAGCACCGGCUAACUCCGUGCCAGCCGCCGCGGUAAUUC
rnacentral:rRNA from 1 species